rnacentral:sRNA from 1 species
AGGAAGAAGAGGAGGAAGAGGAAGAGGAGCAGGAGGAAGAGGAGGAGGAGGAAGAGGAGGAGAGAAAGAGAACCCAUGGAUGUGAGGGGGGCUUUCUGCAGAGACUCAGAUCCCCAGAUCUCUAGACUCAGCUUGGAAAAUUUACUUAUUACCUCUCAGAGUCUAAAGAAGGGAGCCCUUUAAAAGCCGACCCUUCAAGUGUGGUUGUUAUGGCAAUUGUGCAGUUCACUGAGUUAGAACACUCAUCUUCCAAUAGGAAGCCAGAGAAGUGCUUCUUCCAACUGCAACCCAACCUCCCCUGACCAAUGAAAAAGCUUUUCACAAGAUACACAUCUUAAAGGAGUGAUGGCCUGAGGACAGAGCUCCAGAUUCUUUGGUUGGGUCCCUUUCUCGUGUACAACAUGGGAGGAGUCCUGGCAAGUAGAUGUGAAACAACCCUUUGGCUAAAUCGAGCAGUAACCAAGAAAGGACUUUUCUACAUAAACAGGAACGAGGCUGGGGAUGGAGAUCUCCUGUUCCCAGACCUGAGCAUUGUUAGCGAGAGGCUGAAGCUAUUCCACAGCUAACAUUCUGACGCUCUGUUGGGCGGUUUGCAGAGGACUCCCUGGAUUCCGAUGGUGCAGAUGAAUUGGGUUAUCCUCUCUGCUGCCCAAAGUCCCCUGUGGGCUAACAGCAUUACUUGUGAGCUUGUUAGAAAUAAAGGGCAGGUAUGGCAGCCACA